AUGCACUGGUCCGGCCGGGCCUUUCCCCCUGUGGAACCUCAUGCCCUUCACUGGGUGUGUGGGAAAACAGGACUUUUACUUUGAAAAAAUUAGAGUGCUCCAGGCAGGCCUAUGCUCGAAUACAUUAGCAUGGAAUAAUAGAAUAGGACGUGUGGUUCUAUUUUGUUGGUUUCUAGGACCGCCGUAAUGAUUAAUAGGGACAGUCGGGGGCAUCAGUAUUCAAUUGUCAGAGGUGAAAUUCUUGGAUUUAUUGAAGACUAACUACUGCGAAAGCAUUUGCCAAGGAUGUUUUCAUUUAUCAGGAACGAAAGUUAGGGGAUCGAAGACGAUCAGAUACCGUCGUAGUCUUAACCAUAAACUAUGCCGACUAGGAGAUCGGACGAUGUUAUUUUUUGACUCGUUCGGCACCUUACGAGAAAAUCAAAGUGCUUGGGCUCCAGGGGGAGUAUGGUCGCAAGGCUGAAACUUAAAGAAAUUGACGGAAGGGCACCACCAGGGGUGGAGCCUGCGGCUUAAUUUGACUCAACACGGG
rnacentral:rRNA from 1 species